GACGAACGCUGGCGGCGUGCUUAACACAUGCAAGUCGAACGGAAAGGCCCUGCUUUUGUGGGGUGCUCGAGUGGCGAACGGGUGAGUAACACGUGAGUAACCUGCCCUUGACUUUGGGAUAACUUCAGGAAACUGGGGCUAAUACCGGAUAGGAGCUCCUGCUGCAUGGUGGGGGUUGGAAAGUUUCGGCGGUUGGGGAUGGACUCGCGGCUUAUCAGCUUGUUGGUGGGGUAGUGGCUCACCAAGGCUUUGACGGGUAGCCGGCCUGAGAGGGUGACCGGCCACAUUGGGACUGAGAUACGGCCCAGACUGCUACGGGAGGCAGAAGUGGGGAAUAUUGCACAAUGGGCGGAAGCCUGAUGCAGCAACGCCGCGUGCGGGAUGACGGCCUUCGGGUUGUAAACCGCUUUCACCUGUGACGAAGCGUGAGUGACGGUAAUGGGUAAAGAAGCACCGGCUAACUACGUG
rnacentral:rRNA from 1 species